GAGACUCUGUGCGCGUGCAUAUCAAUAAGCGGAGGAAAAGAAACUAACAAGGAUUCCCUUAGUAACGGCGAGUGAAGCGGGAAGAGCUCAAAUUUGAAAUCUUCAAGGUUUUACCUUGACGAAUUGUAGUUUAAAGAAGUGUUUUCUGUUGAAGUUUCGGUAAAAGUUCUUUGGAAUAGGACAUCAUAGAGGGUGAGAAUCCCGUAUUUGACCGUUAUUUUCAGCUGUGUGAUACACUUUCAAAGAGUCGGAUUGUUUGGGAAUGCAGUCCAAAAUGGGUGGUAAAUUUCAUCUAAAGCUAAAUAUUGGCGAGAGACCGAUAGCGAACAAGUACCGUGAGGGAAAGAUGAAAAGAACUUUGAAAAGAGAGUUAAACAGUACGUGAAAUUGUCAAAAGGGAAGCGUUUGACACCAGUGUUGUUUUUCCGAAAAUCAAUUACGAAUGUUUUAUUUUUGAGGAGUUCAUGACUUCAUCGGCUUGCUCCUUUCUUUAUGAAACUUUCUUAAUGCACUUUUCGGUUAACAAGUCAACAUCAAUUUCUUUUGUUGUAAAAGGGUAUGAGGAAGGUGGCUUUCUUUUCGGAGAAAGUGUUUAUAGCCUUGUGCCUCUGCAAUCGGAGAGAUUGAGGUCUGCAGCGUAGAUCCUUCGGGGUUAGAUACGUUUGUGCUAAGUUAUAGCUUUUCAUAGACAACUUGUUGACUAUGUUUAGUCUUGUAGCUUACUCGCUGACGCUAUUUUACCUACGCUUAGGAUGUUGAAGAUGUAGCACAUCAU
rnacentral:rRNA from 1 species